GGGGGCAAUUUCAUAGCUAUGCUCAAGGGGGCAUUUCAAUUUCAUCUGGGAGGCGGGCUGUUUCAUCGUGGGUUGCAAAUUUCAAUUUCCCUAUAAUGAAACAUAGUGUUUCAUUACUAAUGAUGAAUCAUUUGGUUUCAUUAAGCUUGCAACGCAGUCCCCAUUUAGGAACUGCAAUAAGAAUUUUCCUAUAUAUAUAUAUAUAAAACCUUUCCGAAAAAUUUUAAAAAAGUGGGGCCUUCCAACAUGUCGGCCAUCCUUGAGAGAAAAAAGUUACAAAAGAUCAUAAAAUAGUCAAGGAGCUUUAAACCUCCCUUUCAGGCACUCCCCCCUUCCUUUUUCUCUCU